rnacentral:rRNA from 1 species
UGCAGUCGACGGUAACAGGAGAAGCUUGCUUUCUUGCUGACGAGUGGCGGACGGGUGAGUAAUGCUUGGGAAUCUGGCUUAUGGAGGGGGAUAACUACGGGAAACUGUAGCUAAUACCGCGUAAUAUCUUCGGAUUAAAGGGUGGGACUUUCGGGCCACCUGCCAUAAGAUGAGCCCAAGUGGGAUUAGGUAGUUGGUGGGGUAAAGGCCUACCAAGCCGACGAUCUCUAGCUGGUCUGAGAGGAUGACCAGCCACACUGGAACUGAGACACGGUCCAGACUCCUACGGGAGGCAGCAGUGGGGAAUAUUGCACAAUGGGGGGAACCCUGAUGCAGCCAUGCCGCGUGAAUGAAGAAGGCCUUCGGGUUGUAAAGUUCUUUCGGUGAUGAGGAAGGUGUUUGUUUUAAUAGAACAAGCAAUUGACGUUAGUCACAGAAGAAGCACCGGCUAACUCCGUGCCAGCAGCCGCGGUAAUACGGAGGGUGCGAGCGUUAAUCGGAAUGACUGGGCGUAAAGGGCACGCAGGCGGUGACUUAAGUGAGAUGUGAAAGCCCCGAGCUUAACUUGGGAAUUGCAUUUCAUACUGGGUCGCUAGAGUAUUUUAGGGAGGGGUAGAAUUCCACGUGUAGCGGUGAAAUGCGUAGAGAUGUGGAGGAAUACCGAAGGCGAAGGCAGCCCCUUGGGAAUAUACUGACGCUCAUGUGCGAAAGCGUGGGGAGCAAACAGGAUUAGAUACCCUGGUAGUCCACGC